rnacentral:rRNA from 1 species
CCUACGGGAGGCAGCAGUAGGGAAUUUUUCACAAUGGGCGAAAGCCUGAUGGAGCAACGCCGCGUGCAGGAUGAAGGCCUUAGGGUUGUAAACUGCUUUUAUAAGCGAGAAAUAUGAUGGUAACUUAUGAAUAAGGAUCGGCUAACUACGUGACAGCAGCCGCGGUCAUACGUAGGCUCCGAGCAUUAUCCGGAGUGACUGGGUGUAAAGAGUUGCGUAGGUGGCAUAAUAAGUAGCUAGGGAAAUCUGGUGGCUCAACCAUUCAGACUACUAUCUAAACUGGUAAGCUCGAGACCGUUAGGGGUAACUGGAAUGUCUAGUGUAGGAGUGAAAUCCGUAGAUAUUAGAAAGAACACCGAUAGCGAAGGCAGGUUACUGGGACGGUUCUGACACUAAGGCACGAAAGCGUAGGGAGCAAACGGGAUUAGAUACCCGUGUAGUC